AUUGAACGCUGGCGGCAGGCCUAACACAUGCAAGUCGAAUGGUAACAGGAAACAGCUUGCUGUUUCGCUGACGAGUGGCGGACGGGUGAGUAAUGUCUGGGAAACUGCCUGAUGGAGGGGGAUAACUACUGGAAACGGUAGCUAAUACCGCAUAACGUCGCAAGACCAAAGAGGGGGACCUUCGGGCCUCUUGCCAUCAGAUGUGCCCAGAUGGGAUUAGCUAGUAGGUGGGGUAACGGCUCACCUAGGCGACGAUCCCUAGCUGGUCUGAGAGGAUGACCAGCCACACUGGAACUGAGACACGGUCCAGACUCCUACGGGAGGCAGCAGUGGGGAAUAUUGCACAAUGGGCGCAAGCCUGAUGCAGCCAUGCCGCGUGUAUGAAGAAGGCCUUCGGGUUGUAAAGUACUUUCGGCGGGGAGGAAGGGAGUAAAGUUAAUACCUUUGCUCAUUGACGUUACCCGCAGAAGAAGCACCGGCUAACUCCGUG
rnacentral:rRNA from 1 species